rnacentral:rRNA from 1 species
CCUACGGGUGGCAGCAGUGAGGAAUAUUGGUCAAUGUGCGCGCGCCUGAACCAGCCAAGUCGCGUGAGGGAAGACGGUCCUAUGGAUUGUAAACCUCUUUUGUCGGGGCGCAAAAGCCGCCACGCGUGGCGUUCCGCGAGUACCCGACGCAACAGCAUCGGCUAACUCCGUGCCAGCAGCCGCGGUACUACGGGGGAUGCGAGGUUUAUCCGGUUUUAUUGGGGUUAAAGGUUGCGCAGGCGGAAGAUAAAGUGCUCGGUAAAAUUGAGGGGUUAAACCUCUGCGAGCCGUUGAAACUGGUGUUCUUGAGUGAGUGAGAGGGAUGCGGAAUGCGUGGUGUAGCGGUGAAAUGCAUAGAUAUCACGCAGAACUCCGAGUGCGAAGGCAGCAUACCGGCGCUCAACUGACGCUCAUGCACGAAAGUGUGGGUAUCGAACAGGAUUAGAUACCCGGGUAGUC